GACGAACGCUGGCGGCGCGCUUAACACAUGCAAGUCGAACGGAAAGGCCCUGCUUUUGUGGGGUGCUCGAGUGGCGAACGGGUGAGUAACACGGGAGUAACCUGCCCUUGACUUUGGGAUAACUUCAGGAAACUGGGGCUAAUACCGGAUAGGAGCUCCUGCUGCAUGGUGGGGGUUGGAAAGUUUCGGCGGGUGGGGAUGGACUCGCGGCUUAUCAGCUUGUUGGUGGGGUAGUGGCUUACCAAGGCUUUGACGGGUAGCCGGCCUGAGAGGGUGACCGGCUACAUUGGGACUGAGAUACGGCCCAGACUCCUACGGGAGGCAGCAGUGGGGAAUAUUGCACAAUGGGCGGAAGCCUGAUGCAGCAACGCCGCGUGCGGGAUGACGGCCUUCGGGUUGUAAACCGCUUUCGCCUGUGACGAAGCGUGAGUGACGGUAAUGGGUAAAGAAGCACCGGCUAACUACGUG
rnacentral:rRNA from 1 species